rnacentral:rRNA from 1 species
GACGAACGCUGGCGGCGUGCCUAAUACAUGCAAGUAGAACGCAGUUGCGAACGGGUGAGUAACGCGUAGGUAACCUGCCUCAUAUCGGGGGAUAACUAUUGGAAACUAUAGCUAAUACCGCAUACUGUGAGAUGGACCUGCGUUGUAUUAGCUAGUUGGUGAGGUAAAGGCUCACCAAGGCGACGAUACAUAGCCGACCUGAGAGGGUGAUCGGCAACACUGGGACUGAGGCACGCGCCAGACGCCUACGUGAGGCAGCAGGGGGGAAUUUUGGCCAAUGGGGGAACCCCUUAUCCAGCCAACCCGCGUGGGCGAUGAAGGCCUUCGGGUUGUAAAGCACUUGUGGCAGGAAAGCGGUACCUGCAGAAUAAGCACCGGCUAACUACGUGCCAGCAGCCGCGGUAAUAC